CAUGUCUUUUUGAUUUUAAUUAAAGGUCUAAUCUGCUCAAUGAAUUUUAAAUAGCCGCAGUAUUUUAACUGUGCAAAGGUAGCAUAAUAAUUAGUUUCUUGAUUAGGAACUGGGAUGAAUGAUUGGACAAGAAAAUAUCUGUCUCUUUUUUAAUUUUUUUGAAUUUUAUUUUUAAGUGAAAAAGCUUAAAUUUUUAUAAAAGACGAGAAGACCCUAUAGAGUUUAAUAUAAUUAAGUAAUUUAAGUUUGGAAAUAAUAUUUAUUUAAUUUUAUUUGGUUGGGGUGACUUAAAGAUAUAAAUAAUUCUUUAAUUUGUAAAUUGGUGAUUUCUAAAUUUUAAAUCUAUAUUUUAUAAAAAUAAAAUAAAUUACCUUAGGGAUAACAGCGUAAUUUUUCUUUAAAGUUCUUAUUGAAAGGAAAGUUUGCGACCUCGAUGUUGGAUUAAAAUUAAUUUUUGGUGCAAUAACUUAAAAAUUAGGUCUGUUCGACCUUUAAAAUUUUACAUGAUCUGAGUUUAAAUCGGCGUGAGCCAGGUUGGAUUCUAUCUUUAGAAUGUUAAUAUAUUUUAGUACGAAAGGACCAAAUAUUUAUUAAAUUAAUU
rnacentral:rRNA from 3 species